UAUCUUUUAUAUAAUAAUAUAUUUUUUAAAUAAUAAUAUCUUUUAUAUAGACAUGCUUUAAUAGAUCUAAUAAAUGAUUAACGCGGCCCUACCAAUAUGGGUAUAUUAAUACUUAAAUCUGGGUAUUUUAAAUUUCGAAUGCGCAUUUUUUAAAAACCGAACUUAUCUAUAGAUCUAGAUCUCUUAUAUCUAGAAUAAUCAAGAUCUACAACACCCAGACUUAGACUAUGGACAUGGUUCUAGAUCUAUUUAAAGAUAUUUUUUAAAAAAAUAACUCAAUAGAUCUAAAAUCUAAUAAAGUCAUGAUUUCCACUCUAUUUUCUCUAGAUCUAGACCAUACAUGAGAUCAAUAUGAAUGUUUAUAGAUCUAGUCUACGUCUAGAACUCUAGAAUACUCUAGAUCUAUCGAUCAUCUUAAAUCUUAGUGACUUAGUCUAUAGGUGUAGUGUAUUGUAUAGUCGCUAUAGUGUAUUGCCUGUAGAUCUAGAACCUGUACUAAUAUUAGUAGAUGUAGAUCUAUAAUAAUAAUACUUUUUAAUAGUAGAAAGUAGAUUUAUAAUCUAUCAAUUCUAUCUAAUCUAGAUCUAAAUCUAGACUUAACUUUCACAUCACACGAUUAUUGAUACAGACAGUGAAUGAAACGAAUGCUGUGAUUAUAUUAUAGUUUAUACUGAUUAUAGCUCUACCAGUUGAUUAUCAUCAUCAUCAUAGAUAAUAAUCUAGACUAGUAUUCUAGAUCUAUAAAUAAAUAAUCAUAGUCACCGUGAUUGGCGUGAUAGUGCCCUUUUUAGUCAAUGUAGUAAAGUCAAGAUAGUGGAACGUAAACUCAAAGGUUUAAUGCAAUAAAGUAUAAGUAGAGUCUAUGAGUUAGUAUAAGAUCUAGUUAUUUUGUUUCUUUGUAUGUCAAUGUCUCAAUUAAAAUAAUUAAUAUCAUCAGCCAUAUCAUUUUAAAUAUUAAAAUAGUAGACAUAGAUUUCUAUAUUAUAAAUAGAUAGAUUAGAUCUAUAAAAUAUAAUUUUACAAACUUUAGAAAUGAUUUAUUUUAUUUUUAAUUGAUCACCCUUCUAGACUAGAUCUAGCAUCUCUAGCUAGACUCUAACUUGUAGUUUGUACAUCUUGGAAUUGGAUCGAAAUUCACCUUCCUAAAUUGUCUCUAAAGUCUGUAGCUGAUUUGAGAGGCCCAACGAGGCAAGAGUCUAUUACUAUUAGUACUCUGUCUCUUGAUCUAUCUAGUAGGCCUACUUAGCUAGUGCAUUAGCUAUAGUGUAGUCAAAUCUUGACAACUAGUCUUCUAGAUCUAAGCUUCUAGAAUAAUUAGAUCUAGAUCCAGUUUAGAUUUAGAAUAUAUAAAAGUAUUUUACUAGCUAAAAUACUAAAUCUACUGAUCUAAAUUCUAGAUAGAUAUACAAUAUAUAGAUCCAGUUUAGAUUUGGAUUAUAAAAAUAUUUACUAGCUAAAAUUCUAAAUCUACUGAUCUAUACUUAAUAUUUUAGAUAUUAUAUGACAUCUACAAAAAUUAUUAUUAAGAUAUAAUUAUAGAUUCUAGACUAGUUAUUUAUGUACAUAAAAUAUAUAAAUUAAAGAUAAAAUUUAUGCAGGCCUAGAUCCCAUAAAUUUAUAAUUGAUCCAGAUCUAUCAGUAAAAGUUACCUUCGAUGGGAAGUUUUACCCAAUCUAAUCUAUACAAGACAAUUUAUAAUCCAUGCCUCGCCUGCACCCCAUACAUUAAAUAAUAGUUCCCAUUCCAUGCCAUGCCCAGACCCAUGAGUUCAUGAACAAAUAAAUGAUGUGGUGUCAAGUUGGAUCUAUCCCCUGAAAUUCAGCACUUUAAUAUAAAACUCACAUAUCUAGUUAAUUAUUUGCUAUGACACUCUGAUCAACUUGGACUUGUGUGAUACAUAUAUGUUUCUUAUCAGAUUUAAUGAAUGAAGUUUUGGUGCAUUUUAAGGCUACAAAAGUAUCAUCAGGUGCAUUGUAACCAUUGGUAUUUUUCCUGGCAACAUUUCUAUUCUAGUCUGUGAUAAAUUAUAAAUUUAAAAAAAUGUUUGUAAUGUUUCAGUUAUUAACAAGUAGAACCAUGCCAACCAGUUCUGAUGAUGUACCAGAAUGGCUCAAGGAUCAUACUUAUACUAUUUCUACUCUCUGGGCAGACAUUAAUAAUAUUGGCAUCCAUUCAAUAUUUAUUUUAUGUUUGGAAAUGCAAGAAAAAGGCAUGCAUUCCUGACAAGUCAAUGAUUGGUUGCACCUCUUAAAGAUAACUUUCUGUUAUGAGAAAAGAUGAGAUUCUUGGACUCCUGCAUAGCACCACCAGAAAGGAAAAUCCCAUCAUGUUGCAAAAUAAAAGCCUUGGACCAAUUUUAAUUUAAGAUAUAUAUAUUAUGAUGUAAGCUCUAUACAUAUUUAUUAUCCUGUCAUUCAGCCAACAGGUUUGGAUUUAGUAUUUUUUAAAUCUGUUUGAUAUUGUACUUGAAAACUAUUAAUCUGAGCCCCAUUAAAACAAUAGGGAGUGCAGUGAAUGAGUGGUAAAGCACUUGGCUUCUGAACUGAGGGUUCCUGGGUUCGAUUAAGACUGGGAUUUUCAAUUUCAGAAUUCAAAAGGCUAAGGAUACAUGGCAAUAGUAAGGAAUAAGUAAAGGCAGUUUGGGGAGUCAUGGGUUUGAAUCUCUGUGAAGACUCAGAUUUAAUUUUUUUAGAUUUUUGGGUGCCCCUGAGUCCACCUAACUCUAAUGGGUAGCUGACUUUCGUUUUGGAAAGUAAAGAUGGUUGGUUGUUGUGCUGGCCACAUGAUGCACUGGCCAAAGAAUCAAAUGACCUUAACAUCAUCUGCCCUAUAGAUUGUGAGGUCUGAAAUGGGAUUUUUUUUCAAAAGGUGGUUGGUUGUUGUGCUGGGUACAUGACACCCUCACUAACCAUAGGGCACAGAAACUGAUAAACUUUAUAUCAUCUGCCCCAUAGAUUGCAAGAUAUGUAAGGGAAAUUUUACUUUUUAAAAAUUAAAAUAAGAAUCUAUCAAAAGUAAACAUAUAAAAUAUGGUGCAUUCUCCUUAAAACUAAAACCUGGUGCGAAGGUUUAAAAUGUUGGCAAAAAAAGCAACAUCAUAUAUUCUUAAUUCCCUUUGCAAAACUUACUGAGAAGAACAUGCAUGUUGUUCCAUCAUAAGUUUCUUGACUGAGGAAAUCUUGUUUAUAUUAGAUUUGAAUUAAGCAAAUUAAGAAAAAAAUUAUAAUCAUUAUUUCAAAUGGUUGUAUCUAAACCUUGUGAAUUUAGUUUCAGUUAUAAGUAUAUUGAGAUUAAUGGAUAAUCAUGAAAUUGUUAAAUAAUUGCUGCUAUCAUUCCAUUGACUAAAGAAUCAUAAUUAUUUUUUUUUUUAAUUAAUUUCAAAAUGAUUUUUUUCAAGCAUAGAGUUCACAUAGAUCUUGAGUGAAAUUUUUUUUUUAUUUGACUAAUGCUUCAAUUUUAUUGUAUCAUAUUAGUUGUUAAUUUUUAUUACCCAGAAUAUUUAAAAAAAUGAGUACACUAUUUUCAUGUAAUAAUGUAACUUGGUAUUCACACAAUGCUCAAAAUACACUAUAAUCUUUAGGCCAUACAGAUUUGUAUAAAUUAACUUGUUUAAAUACAUUGUAAAUGUAUAUUGUUUGGAUAAGAAUAAAGUUUUUCUGUAGACAAUUAUUGUUCAAGAUUUGUUGAUGCUUCUGCU